GUCGAAUAUGUGGUGGGAAGAUGUUGGCCAAGACAACUGCACACACGCGGAUGGCCUCCUCCCGUACUACACCCAUGAGAUCGUCAACGGCAGCUGUAGGAUCGAUAGAGCCGUGGACAACCUCCUGAGCCAGCUGAUAUAUCCGCUCGCGUGAUGGUGCGCCUGACUGCACAACACCGCUCGACAUGCACCCCUCUAUGAUCCGCCGGAAGAAGUCGUCGGAUAAUGAAGGGCCGGCGCCCGAUCCACUCGCACCACUACCUCCAGUGGGUGGGCGUCGUCGAGAU
rnacentral:lncRNA from 1 species